rnacentral:rRNA from 1 species
GACGAACGCUGGCGGCGUGGAUUAGGCAUGCAAGUCGAACGGUAUCAUCCUUUCGGGGGUGAGAGAGUGGCGAACUGGUGAGUAACACGUAGGUUAUCUACCCUCAAGACGGGGACAACCCAGGGAAACUUGGGCUAAUACCGGAUGUGAGCAACUUUUAGUUGUUUGAAAGGUGGCGUAAGCUGUCGCUUGGGGAUGAGCCUGCGUCCUAUUAGUUAGUUGGUGAGGUAACGGCUCACCUAGGCAAUGAUAGGUAGGCGGCCUUAACGGGUGGUCGCCCACACUGGGAUUGAGAUACGGCCCAGACUCCUACGGGAGGCAGCAGUCGAGAAUAGUCUACAAUGGUCGGAAGACUGAUAGUGCGACGCCGCGUGAACGAUGAAUCCCUUCGGGGUGUAAAGUUCUUUUAUAUGUGAGCAGUGCUUCUUAUAUUAACAGUAUGGGGAGAGAGAUAUUAGCAUAUGAAUAAGCAACGGCUAACUCCGUGCCAGCAGCCGGGUAAAC